GAUGAACGCUGGCGGCAUGCCUAAUACAUGCAAGUCGAACGAGAGGAAGGAAAGCUUGCUUUUCUGAAUCUAGUGGCGAACGUGUGAGUAACACGUAGGUAACCUGCCCAUGUGCCCGGGAUAACUUCUGGAAACGGAUGCUAAAACCGGAUAGGUAGCAGACAAGCAUUUGACUGCUAUUAGAGUGGCUAAGGCCAUGAACAUGGAUGGACCUGCGGUGCAUUAGCUAGUUGGUGAGGUAACGGCCCACCAAGGCGACGAUGCAUAGCCGGCCUGAGAGGGGGGACGGCCACAGUGGGACUGAGACACGGCCCAAACUCCUACGGGAGGCAGCAGUAGGGAAUUUUCGUCAAUGGGGGGAACCCUGAUCGAGCAAUGCCGCGUGAGUGAGGAAGGUCUUCGGAUCGUAAAGCUCUGUUGUAAGAGAAAAACGACAUUCAUAGGGAGUGAUGAGUGAGUGAUGGUAUCUUACCAGAAAGUCACGGCUAACUACGUGCCAGCCGCCGCCGUAA
rnacentral:rRNA from 1 species